rnacentral:rRNA from 1 species
AUUGAACGCUGGCGGCAGGCCUAACACAUGCAAGUCGAGCGGAGCGGCGUACGGGUGAGUAAUGCCUACGAAUCUGCCUGGUAGUGGGGGAUACCGUCCGGAAACGGGCGCUAUUCCCGCAUACUAUCAGCUGAGCCUAGGUCGGAUUAGCUAGUUGGUGGGGUACAGGCUUACAAAGCCCACGAUCCGUAACUGGGCUGCGAGGAUUAUUAGUCACACUGGAACUGAGCCACGGGCCAGACUAAUACGGGAGGCAGCGGUGGGGAAUGAUGGACAAUGGGCGAAAGCCGAAUCCAGCCAUGCCGCGUGUGUGAAGAAGGUCUUCGGAUUGUAAAACACUGUAAGUUGGGAGGCGUUACCAACAGAAUAAGCAACGGCUAACUUCGUGCCAGCAGCCGCGGUAAUAC